CAGGUAACCAUUGUCUUGUACAGUAGAGCGGGACAUUAGAUUUACUCUCAGCGGAAUUGACCGGAGAAGGCAUCAGUUCAUGCACUGCACUGGCCUGCACCACGAUUAGUAUAAGACAGGGCAAAAAAGGACUCCAAAUUAAAAAAAAGAUAAAAAUGAAAGACUGGUGCAUUGUGCAGUUUAGCACUGGUGGUACAGAAAUAGUCCCUAGAUCAUGGAUAAAUGGGGAGAAAUUGUCAUGGCCUCCAUAUCCUCCGUGAGACACAUUCAGGAUCCACGACGCAGUAAAGAGGAGAGUUCAUCCUGGUGCAACAUGGCUCACCUAUGCACCAGUCCGACUUCUAAUAAGCCAUGACACAUUUCACGAAGCAGAACGCAGUCUUCAGAAAUAUCUAAGUGAACACUGUGAUACGUCUGACCUUCAGUCCGAAGCUGAAACUCAGACCAGUCAUAAAAGAAAGCACAAACCAAAUCCCCUGUACACAUAUAGUGACUCAGAGGAUGAGCAGCCCACAAAAA